rnacentral:lncRNA from 1 species
AUGAACAAAGCUAGUGGAGGUGAUGGAAUUCCAGUGGAGCUAUUUCAAAUCCUGAAAGAUGAUGCUGUGAAAGUGCUGCACUCAAUAUGCCAGCAAGUUUGGAAAACUCAGCAGUGGCCACAGGACUGGAAAAGGUCAGUUUUCAUUCCAAUCCCAAAGAAAGGCAAUGCCAAAGAAUGCUCAAACUACCACACAAUUGCACUCAUCUCACACACUAGUAAAGUAAUACUCAAAAUUCUCCAAGCCAGGCUUCAGCAAUACAUGAACUGUGAACUUCCAGAUGUUCAAACUGGUUUUAGAAAAGGCAGAGGAACCAGAGAUCAAAUUGCCAACAUCCACUGGAUCAUGGAAAAAGCAAGAGAGUUCCAGAAAAACAUCUAUUUCUGCUUUAUUGACUAUGCCAAAGCCUUUGACUGUGUGGAUCACAAUAAACUGUGGAAAAUUCUGAAAGAGAUGGGAACACCAGACCACCUGACCUGCCUCUUGAGAAAUCUGUAUGCAGCUCAGGAAGCAACAGUUAGAACUGGACAUGGAACAACAGACUGGUUCCAAACAGGAAAAGAAGUAUGUCAAGGCUGUAUAUUGUCACCCUACUUAUUUAACUUCUAUGCAGAGUACAUCAUGAGAAACGCUGGACUGGAAGAAGCACAAGCUGGAAUCAAGACUGCCAGGAGAAAUAUCAAUAACCUCAGAUAUGCAGAUGAAACCACCCUUAUGGCACAAAGUGAAGAGGAACUAAAAAGCCUCUUGAUGAGAGUGAAAGAGGAGAGUGAAAAAGUUGGCUUAAAGCUCAACAUUCAGAAAAUGAAGAUCAUGGCAUCCGGUCCCAUCACUUCAUGGGAAAUAGAUGGGGAAACAGUGGAAACAGUGUCAGACUUUAUUUUUCUGGGCUCCAAAAUCACUGCAGAUGGUGAUUGCAGCCAUGAAAUUAAAAUAUGUUUACUCCUUGGAAGAAAAGUUAUGAUCAACCUAGAUAGCAUAUUGAAAAGCAGAGACAUUACUUUGCCAACAAAGGUCCGUCUAGUCAAGGCUAUAGUUUUUCCAGUGGUCAUGUAUGGAUGUGAGAGUUGGACUGUGAAGAAAGCUGAGGGCUGA